rnacentral:rRNA from 1 species
GAUGAACGCUGGCGGCGUGCCUAAUACAUGCAAGUCGAGCGAACGGACGAGAAGCUUGCUUCUCUGAUGUUAGCGGCGGACGGGUGAGUAACACGUGGAUAACCUACCUAUAAGACUGGGAUAACUUCGGGAAACCGGAGCUAAUACCGGAUAAUAUUUUGAACCGCAUGGUUCAAAAGUGAAAGACGGUCUUGCUGUCACUUAUAGAUGGAUCCGCGCUGCAUUAGCUAGUUGGUAAGGUAACGGCUUACCAAGGCAACGAUGCAUAGCCGACCUGAGAGGGUGAUCGGCCACACUGGAACUGAGACACGGUCCAGACUCCUACGGGAGGCAGCAGUAGGGAAUGUGCCGCAAUGGGCGAAAGCCUGACGGAGCAACGCCGCGUGAGUGAUGAAGGUCUUCGGAUCGUAAAACUCUGUUAUUAGGGAAGAACAUAUGUGUAAGUAACUGUGCACAUCUUGACGGUACCUAAUCAGAAAGCCACGGCUAACUACGUG